GCAUUGGUGGUUCAGUGGUAGAAUUCUUGCCCUCUACGAGGGAGACCCAGGUUUGAUUCCUGGCCAAUGCA
rnacentral:tRNA from 1 species